AUGGUGAAGAGGAAGAAAAGAAAAAGGAAGAGAGGUAAAAAGGUAUCUCUCCCAAAUAAAGUUGCUCCUAUUAUUGUUGUGCCUCAUGAAAAUGAAGAUGAUACACUUUAUGAUGAUCUCGUUAUGCCUAUUGCUUGUUGUGAUGAUUAUGAUUGGGAAGAUAAUGGUACUUCUUAUGAUCUUGAAAAUCUUUUUGGUACUUGCUUGGAAGAAUAUGAUAAUAAUGGUUGCUAUACUAUUGGUGCUAUCCAUACUAUUAAUUAUGAGAGUGAUUAUGCUUAUGAUACGAAAAGGCCCAAGCUUGGGGAAGCUAUGUUUGAUGAGGUUGACAUAUUUGAGAAUAUAUUUGCUGCAAUUAAUGUUUGUCCCAAGCUUGGGGAUGCUAUGUUUAAUAAUUAUGAUAUUUUUAGCCUUCCAUAUUUUGAUAUGCAAAGUGAUUAUGACGAGAACAAAGUUGCUACUUAUGAUGAUUAUUGUGAUGAAACUUAUGCUAUAAAAAGUAGUGAUGAUUAUAUUUAUAAAACUUGUCAUGAUUAUGAUUACCCUUUUUCUGAACAUUACUCUUUUAAUGUGGAAACAAUUUAUAGUAUUCAAGUCUCUUAUGAUACCCCCACUAUCCCGAAUGAGAAGAAUUUUGCUUAUGUGGAGAGUAAUAAAAUUUCUAUGCAAGUAGAUCAUGAAAAAAAUGCUUUAGGUGUUGGUUAUAUUGUUGAAUUCAUUCAUGAUGUUACUGAAAAUUAUUAUGAUGGAGGAAUAUAUGCUUGUAGGAAUUGCAAUAAUAUCAAGUUUCCUCUCUAUGUGCUUAAAAUCUUGAAGUUAUGCUUGUUUUACCUUCCUAUGCAAGUUGAUUAUUGUUCCCAUAAGUUGUUUGCUCACAAAAUCCCUAUGCAUAGGAAGUGGGUUAGAAUUAAAUGUGCUAGUCUUAUAUUUCAUGAUGCUCUCUUUAUGUUUCAAUUCUUAUCUUUUAUGUGA
rnacentral:rRNA from 1 species